GCCGGUCAUGGUGGUGCAUGCCUGUAAUCCCAGUGGCUCAGGAGGCUGAGAUGGGAGGAUUGCAAGUUCCAAACCAGCCUCAGCAAAAAGCAAGGCACUAAGCAACUCAGUGAGACCCUGUCUCUA
rnacentral:sRNA from 1 species